CCUACGGGAGGCAGCAGUGGGGAAUUUUGGACAAUGGGCGCAAGCCUGAUCCAGCAAUGCCGCGUGAGUGAAGAAGGCCUUCGGGUUGUAAAGCUCUUUUGUCAGGGAAGAAACGGCUGGGGUUAAUACCUCUGGCUAAUGACGGUACCUGAAGAAUAAGCACCGGCUAACUACGUGCCAGCACC
rnacentral:rRNA from 1 species